AUUGAACGCUGGCGGCAGGCCUAACACAUGCAAGUCGAGCGGAUGACGGGAGCUUGCUCCUUGAUUCAGCGGCGGACGGGUGAGUAAUGCCUAGGAAUCUGCCUGGUAGUGGGGGACAACGUUACGAAAGGAACGCUAAUACCGCAUACGUCCUACGGGAGAAAGCAGGGGACCUUCGGGCCUUGCGCUAUCAGAUGAGCCUAGGUCGGAUUAGCUAGUUGGUGGGGUAAUGGCUCACCAAGGCGACGACCCGUAACUGGUCUGAGAGGAUGAUCAGUCACACUGGAACUGAGACACGGUCCAGACUCCUACGGGAGGCAGCAGUGGGGAAUAUUGGACAAUGGGCGAAAGCCUGAUCCAGCCAUGCCGCGUGUGUGAAGAAGGUCUUCGGAUUGUAAAGCACUUUAAGUUGGGAGGAAGGGCAGUAAGUUAAUACCUUGCUGUUUUGACGUUACCGACAGAAUAAGCACCGGCUAACUCUGUGCCAGCCGCCGCCGUAA
rnacentral:rRNA from 1 species